rnacentral:rRNA from 1 species
AGUGAACGCUGGCGGUAGGCCUAACACAUGCAAGUCGAACGGCAGCACAGUAAGAGCUUGCUCUUACGGGUGGCGAGUGGCGGACGGGUGAGGAAUACAUCGGAAUCUACUUUUUCGUGGGGGAUAACGUAGGGAAACUUACGCUAAUACCGCAUACGACCUACGGGUGAAAGCAGGGGAUCUUCUGACCUUGCGCGAUUGAAUGAGCCGAUGUCGGAUUAGCUAGUUGGGGGGGUAAAGGCCCACCAAGGCGACGAUCCGUAGCUGGUCUGAGAGGAUGGUCGGCCACACUGGAACUGGGACACGGUCCAGAGUCCUACGGGAGGCAGCAGUGGGGAAUAGUGGACAAUGGGCGCAAGCCUGAUCCAGCCAUACCGAGUGGGUGAAGAAGGCCUUCGGGUUGUAAAGCCCUUUUGUUGGGAAAGAAAAGCAGCAGGUUAAUACCCCGCUGUUCUGACGGUACCCAAAGAAUAAGCACCGGCUAACUUCGUG